UCCGUAGGCUUUCAGGAAAUA
rnacentral:miRNA from 14 species